AAAAAACCGAAAAAGAGAAUAACGAUAAAAACACAUUGGAAUAGCUAUUCUGAAAUUACCAAAAAAAAAAAAGAAAAUUCUAAUUUCGUCGUGUUCUUCUCUGUCCCUACCUCCGUCAGCCUCACCUGGCAAGCCGGCCGACCGCCUUCCGUUACGUCCGGCCGGGUGUCUGUUCCGCUCAUCUCGUCGGAAGCUCCACUCAUCUCCGACCUCCCACUCUCUCUCUGUCAUUUCCGAGGGCAGCGAUUUUCUUUUUGAGUUGUCCUGACUCCUGGGUCUUAAGUCGAAAAUUGUCUUAAUCUUAUUGGGGAUUAGGCGUAAAGAGAUGCCUCGAGACGUAUCGCGAUCAAGAUCGCCUCCCCAUCGGCGUAGGCAUUCGCCGUCUCCUAUUGGACACAGGCAUAGCAGGAGGAGCAGAAAAGACAGAAGUCGAUCUCCUUAUUCAUCCUACUCUCAUAGCAGGUGACGCCUUUUGUAUGAUUAAUUGAUUCGUUUUCUUUAUGAUAGAAUACUGUAUCCUUCAUAUUGAGUUAGAAUUACGGAGGACUUUAUGAUUUACGAUGUAUUUGUUGCAAAAUAUGAAUCUUAAACACUUAUAUUCAUGGAAAUUUUGUAUCUUUUUUCCCCUUAUAUUGUAAAUUUGUAGAAGUAGGAAUGAUUUCAAUUCAUAUUUGUUUACUAUUGAUGUUAUCUCAAAUGUUCAAUGAAUGCAAAUUUCUGUAUUUGGUAUAUUAGAUUUGUUUUCAGGUUGGAUGCUGAAUGGACAAAACAAGGAUAUUAAACAGAUGUAAUAUAUAUCUCCCAAAUUUCAAUUGACACUAUAAACUUGAGAAUAUUGCAAGGUUUUUUUAAGUGGUUUGGGGUUAAUUAUGAGGUGAUAUGGGUAAAACGAUGUGUUUUAGUAGGACUGUUUACCUUUUAUUAUAUUAAUUUGUGAAAAAAGUUAUGAAAUUUAGGCUGCACUUGUUUUCAUUAUCAUAAAAGGUUUCCUUUUUGCUUUUGUGUUUUACAUAUUAUUUUUAUUUUCUUUUUCAUAUUUUGAAAAACAUUUUUGCUUUUUAUUUGGCACAAGUCACAACCAUUGCCUUGUGACAGCAGUGGGGAGCUAGAUUUCUUAUUCUUUGUUUGGAUUCUCCCUUCUAUUCAGCAGCUUGGCCACUUAAUGAGGACAUUCUAUUAUGUUGAAUGACUCAUAGUUCUAAUUUAUAAGGAUUAGGCAUUUUUGUCAUAACUGUUUGGUGUUGAUGAUGCUUAUUUUCAGAAAUUUUUAUUGGGUUUCUUUCUUUUUGAGGGCUUUUCUAUUGUUAUGUGGAGUUGUUAGUCUUCAAUAACAUUUAUAUACACCAUAAUAAUAUAGUGAAAAAGAUAGGAUAUAUGCCAUCUAUAACCAAAUUAGAAGAUCAGUUCGUAACUUGGGAAGUGAGAGAUGUGAGCAGGUGGUGGGUGCUGAUGAUUUUUUAUUGCCCUUGCUCAAUUGUGACAUUUGCUUCUUCAUGUGGUAAAAAGAUGGAGCACACAAUGGUUAAUAGCAAUUGAUGAGGUAACUGUAUAUGUUUUUGGCUUUAGUGUGGUAGACAGUGGGUAGGUGUUAUGUUCACUUAAUAUAUCUGUUAAUUUGCACUAGUUCAUUGCUUAUGAUCUUCUGUGUCAUCGUACAGGCGAAAAAGUCGCUCUAUUUCACCAAGAGGCCACAGAAGCCGUUCCCCAACUCCGAGGCGCCAUAGAAGUCGAUCUCCAGCCACGAAACGAUAUAGAAGACAUAGAAGCCGGAGUUCUUCGCUAUCUCCUGUUCACAAGUCUUCCAGUUCAAGUCUUGGGUCAAUAGAGCAGAAAAAUGUUGUUGACAAACAAAGGAAAGAAGAAGAGAAGAAAAGGUUACUUGAAUUUCGUCUCCACGGGCUUGUCUGAAGGAAGGUACUGCUAUAAUUCAACUUGUUAUGUUUGAUGAUCAAAUUGGCUAAUGGCUGCCUCAUUUAUCUACUGUUCACCAGUUUUGAAACUGAUUUGUUUGGAUCAGGAUCCAAUAGAGGUAUGCCUUAAAAGCAUAACCGUUUUUUUGUGCAUUUGUCGUCAUGGAGGUUAGUUUGCGAUUGAUUGUGGUUUUCAUUAAGUAAUUUAGGAAAGGGUAGAAAGAAAAAAAAUGAAGAAAAGCCUAGUGUCCAGCUGUAGUCCUUAGUUCUGUAUGAUGGAAAACAUGAGUUCACUUUUGUGUGGCAUUCUCUUCUGUUUGAGUGGCCAUUUUCAUGCUUAACAUUUUGUAUAUUUUCACAGGCGUCAACAGGAAGCGGAAUUGAAAUUAAUAGAAGAAGAGACUGCAAAGAGAGUUGAAGAAGCCAUUCGUAAGAGAGUUGAAGAAAGCUUGAACUCCGAGGAGGUUCAGGUCGAGAUUCAAAGGCGGUUGGAAGAGGGACGAAAGAGACUAAAUGUUGAAGUCACAGCCCAACUUGAAAAAGAAAAAGAAGCUGCUGUUAUUGAAGCUAAACGGAAGGAGGAACAAGCUCGGAAAGAAAAAGAAGAAC